GGUGAUCUGCAGCCAAGUCCGUAGUACUUAGGUGCCGGAUGCUGUUCACAGGCCAAAUGGUGGUGGGUUGAUUCGGGAGAAUCAGCUUAAGAUAUGGUCGGGCCCCCUGGGAAACCUUGGGAGUAGUCACCAAACAGUCAAAUUCAGGCGGGGGAGCGAAAAAGUGCAAAGCUCCCAGUCACAGGCGACUGAACAUAGCUAUGGGGGCUAUGCAGUACUUUAAAUUGUUCCGUAGGUGAACCUGCGGAAGGAUCAUUAACGAGUUAGGGUCUCUCCAGGCCCGACCUCCCAACCCUUUGUUUACCGAACCUCUGUUGCUUCGGCGGACCCGUCUCACGGCCGCCGGGGGACCGCCGACAGGCGUCCUCUGGCCAGCGUCCGUCGAUAGCCAAACAUUUAAACCCUGAAUAAAUCGUGUCUUGUGUCUAAGUCUAUGAUUAAAUCAAAAACAAAACUUUCAACAACGGAUCUCUUGGUUCUGGCAUCGAUGAAGAACGCAGCGAAAUGCGAUAAGUAAUGCGAAUUGCAGAAUUCCAGUGAGUCAUCGAAUCUUUGAACGCACAUUGCGCCCUUUGGUAUUCCGAAGGGCAUGCCUGUUCGAGCGUCAUUAUCACCCCUCAAGCCCCGUGCUUGGUGUUGGACGGGUUGGUCGGGGCUUGCCCUCGACCCGUCCUAAAGACAAUGACGGCGGCCUGUGGUUCCCCCGGUACACUGAGCUUCUUAAACCGAGCACGUACCGGAUGAGGGCGCCCGGGCCACGGUCCUCUCCUUUCACCAGGAAUCU
rnacentral:rRNA from 1 species